ACGGGAGGCAGCAGUGAGGAAUAUUGGUCAAUGGUCGAGAGACUGAACCAGCCAAGUAGCGUGAAGGAUGACUGCCCUACGGGUUGUAAACUUCUUUUGUUCGGGAAUAAAGUCACCUACGUGUAGGUGUUUGCAUGUACCGUUCGAAUAAGCAUCGGCUAAUUCCGUGCCAGCAGCCGCGGUAAUACGGAAGGUCCGAGCGUUAUCCGGAUUUAUUGGGUUUAAAGGGUGCGCAGGCGGGCUGCUAAGUCUCCGGUGAAAUGUCAGGGCUCAACCUUGGCACUGCCGGAGAUACUGGCGGCCUUGAGAGUGGCGGAGGUAUCCGGAAUGUGUGGUGUAGCGGUGAAAUGCAUAGAUAUCACACAGAACACCGAUUGCGAAGGCAGGAUACCAUACCAUAUCUGACGCUCAGGCACGAAAGCGUGGGGAUCGAACAGGAUUAGAUACCCUGGUA
rnacentral:rRNA from 1 species